GACGAACGCUGGCGGCGUGCCUAAUACAUGCAAGUAGAACGCUGAAGGAGGAGCUUGCUCUUCUGGAUGAGUUGCGAACGGGUGAGUAACGCGUAGGUAACCUGCCUGGUAGCGGGGGAUAACUAUUGGAAACGAUAGCUAAUACCGCAUAACAUUGACUAUUGCAUGAUAGUCAAUUAAAAGGUGCAAAUGCACCACUACCAGAUGGACCUGCGUUGUAUUAGCUAGUUGGUGGGGUAACGGCUCACCAAGGCGACGAUACAUAGCCGACCUGAGAGGGUGAUCGGCCACACUGGGACUGAGACACGGCCCAGACUCCUACGGGAGGCAGCAGUAGGGAAUCUUCGGCAAUGGACGGAAGUCUGACCGAGCAACGCCGCGUGAGUGAAGAAGGUUUUCGGAUCGUAAAGCUCUGUUGUAAGAGAAGAACGAGUGUGAGAGUGGAAAGUUCACACUGUGACGGUAUCUUACCAGAAAGGGACGGCUAACUACGUG
rnacentral:rRNA from 1 species